ACUAUCUUUUGUGGGGGGACUCUGGAAAACUCAGGUCUCUAUAUCUACGCCUGUUCCCUUUCUUCUUAGUUCCCGGAGGUUAAAAAUGGACAAUUGGAAGCCCAAGGGGAAGUUCCGAAGAGGGGGGUGACCCUUCCUGGUGUGUUGGAAAUCCCAGGACUGUCUUUGUAUUUGUUCUCUGCUGCUGCUGCUGCAUAACAAACUACAACAAAACUGAAUGACUUAGAACAACAAUAAACACUCUCACCAUUUCUGACUCAGAGACUUAAAAUGGUUGUGGUCAUCUGAAGACUUGACUGAAGGCUAAAAGACGCACCUUCAAGGGCUAAAUGAACUCACCAUAUGGAAGAUGGCUUCUCCCAGAUCAGGAGAUCCAAGAAGGCAAAUGGAACAUGCACUGCAUUUUAUGACCUAGCCUCAAAGAUCACAUGCCAUCACUUCCAUGGUACUCUACUGAUCAGUCCUGUGUCAAUGUAAAAAAAUAUAAAAAGGUUUAAAUAUUAGGAGACAAGGGUCACUGGAGGCUGGCUAUCAUAUCUUUAUGUGUAAAGUAAUUUUUAA